rnacentral:rRNA from 1 species
UACGGGGGGGGUAAGCGUUGUUCGGAAUUACUGGGCGUAAAGGGCUCGUAGGCGGCCAACUAAGUCAUACGUGAAAUCCCUCAGCUUAACUGGGGAACUGCGUGUGAUACUGGAUGGCUUGGAUUUGGGAGAGGGAUGCGGAAUUCCAGGUGUAGCGGUGAAAUGCGUAGAUAUCUGGAGGAACACCGGUGGCGAAGGCGGCAUCCUGGACCAAUACUGACGCUGAGGAGCGAAAGCGUGGGGAGCGAACAGG